rnacentral:lncRNA from 1 species
AAUAACUGGAAGACACCUGGCGCAUCGGACUCGGGGCGUUACAAACAGAUACAUAAAAUCAUGAGAGAGAUACUUUCCUUUUCUCUAGAGGGCUAAAAAUGAAAUUACGAGGAAAUAUAAGAAAUGCAACCGAGGAAGUAUUCACCAACUGUCAGGUAGUUCAAAGAACACCAGAUGUAAAAUUAACAUGCAGGUCCAUAGACCACUUAGCGACGACUACAAGCACUAGAACUAGCCAAAAGGUGCACCGUCUUUAUCGCCCAUCCUUCGUCGGAGAAGGGCAAACAUUGUUGUGGUAGAUAGCCAGGAACCAAAAUACGUUGCGGCUUGUUAGUUUCUAGCUGAAUAUGUUUGAUGGACCAUUGGUAUGUGCUUAUUUUGUGUGCAAGAACAAUGAAUCUAUUUGGUCCCAAUAGCCAAUAAGCCAUAAUAUGUUUUCCAGCUAUCCUAACUCUUGGUAUCAAAGAUGAUUGUUUGCUAUAGAAUUAUUCAAGUCCAUACGUCAAGGUCUACAGAAGGUAUGGUUAAGUUUAAAAGAUUCUACACUUUCUGGUGUGUAGUUCCAGAUUUAGAGGAAAAAAUAUUCUAGUUGAAAUCAUAGUAUUAAUUAUACUUCAGUGGUAGAUUUAAUUUUAAUUUUGCCCAAAAAUCGUCCCAAUACGGUGAGUGCAAUGCACGUGUAUGUGAGCAUCUAUGUUAAAAAAAGGCCAUGAUACAUGUUCAAGUACAAAGAGUAGGAAAAUAAAAAAGUGGGAUUUAAAUUAUUCUAGCUAGAAAAACAAUUCAUAAUGCUCCCAAGUAAAUCUUUAUUUCCAAACAUUAUUCUUGGUCAUUUUCUUGCUACAAUUAUCUAAUGCAUUCGCAGUGACCAUCACGGUAGGUCCCACCUCCGUAACCAUCUCUGUUGCAGAUAUCAUUACAAAAUCAAGGAUUCAUACAUGGAGUGUAGGGUUCACGGUGCCCCUCGACGCCAAUGUUAGCUUCCUUUCCUACAACAAUAAAAAAAAUGUGCCAUCAGAACCUUUUGUUAUUCGUAUUUAAACUAGGAUUCUGUGAAAUCAAUGUACUAUGCAAAUAGUAGGACAACAGUGGAGUGCUAAUACAAACACAUGAAGAACAACUACUGGCUGGUAUAUAAUUAUUAUGUACUAUGGAAACCAUACGUACCACGACAAAAUUGUAAUGGUGAUCAUAAAAUCACAAGGAAAACACCUCUUUCCUUCCAUGCCAUUGUUAAACAACACUAGGUUUAAAGUACUAUGAGGCAUGAUAACUUUCCAAUAACGGGACGAGCGCGACGCACAAGUUUGCAAUAUGAGGAAAAAUACUUUUAUAUCUAUUUUUUGUGAGUAUGAGGAAAAUGAUACUUGCCUAUCUGAACCAAACACCUCACUCUAUUAGGCACGGUUGAAACACUUUUCUCUUGCAAAAAUACUUGCAUAUAUUAACUUGAACGAUCAAACUUCAUAAGAAACAUUCAUAUCAUUGGCAACAGAGAAUGAUGCAAUAGGAUCAAUUUUUUAUCUAGCUCCAGGAAACCAUAAAUUCAUAUAUACUACAGUUGAUAAGCUCUGGUAAAUAGAAAUGUACCUAUCUUCCUCCCUGACGCUUCACUCGACAAUAAAGUGGUUGAAACCAUCAAAAGUGCCAUCAAGCACAGAACACCAGUGUUGAUCCGGAUUAGAGCCAUAACAAAAUUGUUUAGUGUUCUCUUCUCCUAUGUCCUUUUGGUUGUAUACUUGUACUACAUUGCUGGUUCCUUCUGUUGUUUAUAUAGAGGCAUGGCUUAUUCUAGGAGUAUCAAUGUUUGCCAUUUUAUUCAUUCCUGCUUUGGCGUGUUUCCUUUUUACAAUUCGCCGUAAUUAAUAAGGAUCCUCGGAUGAUACGCACAUCAUGGAAUAUCCUGUAGGUAUCGAUUGACAGACUAGAAAUAUAUCCAGAAGGAGUUUAUUAGUAUUCCAUAUACACAAUUAGGGCAUUUAUUGCCUCCUAAAAAUAACCAUAUGAAAUUAAUUAGUUUUUCAUAAUAACAUUGUGACAUUAAUUAGUAAUACUCCAUAUCAAGAUUAUGGCAUUUAUUCGCUCCAAAAUUACAAGAGAAAUUAAUUAGUAGUAUUCCGUAACAAGAUACAUAGUGUAUACGAAAAUGUGUCAUCUUGAUAGUUUGAUAUUAGUUUAUGUAUUUGGAACCUAUGAUUUCUGAACAAGACACAGUGCGUUGCACGUACGGUCUAGCUAGUGCAUAGUCACCUGAUAUUUGACUGAAUUUGUUAUUUUGAUGUUUAGUCAACUAUGCAUGUUUCAUUUGGGGCGGUGGCGCACUUUUUCUGGCUGGCGUGGGGGGGGGGGUGUGGCGCAUUUCAUUAUUCAAGCUAUAACAGUUUUACAAUCAUCGGUAAUCAUAAUGCUAAUCUCCUGGGGAGCGAGCAUGUUUAAGCCAAGAAGCUGUGUGCGACCAAUUGCCGCCAUUACAUGCCCAGCUUUAUUCUGCCCAUGACUAAUAAUCUUAUGGAUUUCAGUGUUGCGUUCGUUGAGAAGAUGCACUAUCUCUGCAAAUUCGUGCAUACUUUUGGAUCGAUCACCCGGCCCAACUUUUACAAAGGUGAUGAUCUUGGCACAGUCCGUCCCAACCUGAAACAGGGCUUGAGACCAAUGCAGAGUUAGACGGGGACCUCUCCCUUGGUGACUGAGGCAACCUGAAUUACUUCAAAACCACCUAUUGUAAAAUGACAAUAGUAUCUCGGACCAAGCUUUCACUCCAUUUUCGCUCAAGAGCGGCUGGACAGGGCGCUGCGGCCCAUUAUUCACAAGUACCAUUUACACUCAGAUCACCGGCCAAUUGUCCUUCACUGGAAAUUGCUCGUGCAUUGCAACAUAUGAUAGUGUAUUAGUGAAAAAUGCAACCUAGGACACGUAUGCAAUUUCAAAAAUGCAAACACAUAUAUGUAAUUUUUUGAAGGAACAUUUACACAUGUAUAUAUUUAUGUUAUACUAGGACAAUGCCCACGCGCUGCUAUCGUAGAUCUCAAAAAAUGCCUCAAGCACAUUAUAGCAAGCACUAAAGUUUCACUUCCCACAUCCCACCUAUUUAUCAACCACUGUGAUUCACAAUCAGACUUAAAUUUUUAGGAUCAAAUGGGAAGGUCAAAUUUAAGCUCCUAAUGAUGGGAAGCGAAUGAUAUGGUGCAAUAUGACCAUAAUAUAUCUACUAUUAUAGAUCCACAUGCAUAUUCCAUUGUCGACUUCUCUUGUACCAUUUUAUUCUUCACCAACAAUACUUGCAUCUCUGCUUUCACUACUGGGUAAAGUCUUAUAUAUUUGUUUGAGAAAAAAUAGUAGGGUAAACCCCUACUGUAACACAUUUUUUAUUAAUAUAAGAGUGGUGUUACAAGUCGAUGUACAAUGUGAAUAAGGCUAUGUGUAUGUGUGUGAUAGAUUUACAUAUAAUCUAACUAAGUUUGCAUACCUUCCUUCAGUCUUGGUUUUGGUUUCCUCAUGACUGUGCCAAAGUGUUCCUAGAAACAUGCAUUGUAAUAUUCUAAGAUCUUUGUCUUGUGGUAAAAAAAUAAUGAUGUUUUUGUGCUUCCAGAUGGACCAGCAUCCAGCAAUCAAGCGUGCUCUGAAUGGUUGUAUGUUUGUUCUGGUUUUUUGCUUUAUCCAACGUUUCAUUGAUGCUAUGGUUAGUGUUCCAUUAAAUCCCAAUAGACAUCCAGAAAUUGUGGCUGAAGUCACAUGGGAAAAAUAGAUGCUUUAGGUGUUCUUUUGGCUCAUAAUCACAUAUGACACAUUUGCUUGAUUCAAUAUAGAAGUGUUUCCUCGCUGGCAAGCCUCUGGUAUUUAGCCUAUCAAGUAGCAGUAACCAGAAGAUUUUGUUUGCUAAGCUUCCAGAUUUCCAAAUCCAUAGGAAUGGUUAAGGGUUAUCUGGUGGGUUUCCAAUCAAUUCUAGAUAAAUCCUUUUGGUGGAAUACAUUGUAGAUGACCAGUAGAAGUGUGCCAAUUGUCUCUGCUAUUGUUGCUUGCAAUACUGAUCAUGUUCCUCAAAGAUAUGCUUUGUUGUACGGCAAAAGUUGACAUGGGUAGAUGAAACAUUUCAUAUAGACCUUCUGUAGCUAUAUCAUGUGUAGCAGCAAAUGUUAUAUCCUUGUUUUUAGCAUAUGAAAAUAGUUGGGGGAAUUUAUUCUCAAGAUUAUCAUCCUCCCAUUUAUCGUACCAUAACCUGAAAGUAGAUCCAUCACCAACUUUGCAAAGUUAGAUGCUUUUGAAAUCAUUUAGAACAGAGCAGCAGUCUCUCCACCCAUGAUCCAACUUUUGUUGGAUAAGUUGGUAGCUCACCAUUGUUGUAGUAUGAGUUCCAUAAUAUUUGCACCCAUGUUAUGUCAUGCUUAUUAAAGAACUUGUGUAUGAACUUUGUCAGACAUGCUCUAUUCUGAGUUCUGAGGUCUAGUACUCUAGGCCACGAGCUCUUUGAUUAAACAUACCUUCUCCCAUUUGGCUAGACAUUUGCCAGGUUUGUUGAUAUUCUUUCAAUACCAUAAGAAGCACCUGCCAGAUUUUUCAAAAUGAUCUAGGAUGGUAAAGGCAACUCUGAUGUUGCACAUUGCAAAAAUGGGAAAUGCAUUAACCAUGGCUUUAAGAUGGACCAAUCUUCCUGCAUAUGACAUCAUAGGUGCGAUACCAGAUAGCCUAACAUCUAAUCUUGACACCAUGGGCAUCAAAUCAUCAAUUUUUGGUCUUGUGGAGCCCAUUGGUAAACCAAGGUAUGUGAAAUGCAUGCUUUAUUUUUUACAUCCAAGUAUGUUGGCAAGUUGCCGAGCUCUUUCAUCUGUUAUGUUGAUUGGUAAAGGGACGAAUUACUAUAGUUUACCUUAAGCCCGGUGAAUUCAGAGGAGAUUUUAUAUAUGUGUACCAUGUGACCGAGUUGUUGACGAUCAGCUGGCAUGAUGAUUAAUGUGUCAUAUGCAUACUAUAUGAUGGGGUAGUUCAUACAACCAUGGUUCUUAAUAGGAGUAGACAGGUGACCUUCUUGCCAUGAUUUAUUUAAUAAACUUGUAGAAGCUCAGCAUUAAUGACAUAUAGUAGAGGGGACAAUGGGUCUCCUUGUAUGACACCUACUUUGCAUUUUUUAAUCUUACCGUACUCCUCUUAAUUGGUCAGAGACUGGUGAACGCCAACUUCUUGGAAAUGACUUAAUCACAGAGGCUGAAGAAAUGUGCAAAGUCAUAUGUGAAAAUCUCAAAGCCGCACAAUUGCGUCAGAAGAGUUACUAUGAUAACAAGCAUCGUGACUUGGCAUUCGAGAUCGGAGACCAUGUCUACCUUCGCGUUCCGCUAAUGAAAGGUACUAGUCGCUUCGGUAUCAAAGGGAAGCUUGCCCCUAGAUACGUGGGUCCUUUCAAGAUCAUUAGAAAAAGAGUCAAUCUCGCCUAUCAACUUGAGCUUCCAUCCAACUUUGCAAAUGUGCAUGAUGUGUUUGACGUGUCACACCUUCGCAAGUGUUUCAAGACUCCUGACCGCGCCAUCAACUUCGAAGAGAUUGAUCUCCAAGAAGACAUGUCUUAUCAUGAUCAUCCCGUUGCUAUUCUUGAAGAAACUGAGCGCAAGACUCGCAACAAGACUAUCCAAUUCCUGAAAGUGAAGUGGUCACAUCAUUCCGACCGAGAAGCCACCUGGGAGCGCGAGGACCACCUCCGUUUCGAAUAUCCAGAGUUCUUUCUGUCCUAGAUCUUGGAACGAGAUCCUUUCAUAGUGGUGGAGUGUUGUAACACCCACGAUGUAACUUACCAUAUUUGUACUCCAACUCUUGCCAUUUUCGGCUCUAAGUUAUGAGAUUUCUCCAUGGUUGGGUUUUCUAUUCGGUUUGCAUUUUCUCCAUGUCAUGCAUUGCAUAUCAUGUCAUCAUGUGCAUCUCUUUUGCAUACGUGUUUGUCUCAUGCAUCUAAGCUUUUUCCCCGUUGCCCAUUUUGCGAUCCAACACUCCUACGUCCUCCGGCGCCCCCUUCUGUCUCUUUUUGUGAGCGGGUGCUAAACGAUCUCGGAAGGGACCGAUAUUUGCCAAGAGGCCUUGGUACACCACCGGUAGAACGCCCGUCAAGUUUCGUGCCAUUUGGAGUCCGUUUGAUACUCCAACGGUUAACAGGGGAACCGUAAAGGCCUCGUGUGUGUUGCAGCCCAACACCCCUCCAAAGUGGCCCAAUAAACCAUCCAAAACCCCUCCAUCCUCGCGGUCGUUCGAUCACAAUCGUGUGGCCGAAAACCGCUCUACAUUUGGACACUCCAAACUCCUCCUACCUAUAAAUUGAUGCCUCCCCCCGAAAUCUCACAUUCCAAAACCCUAAUUUCAUCCCCCGCUGCCGCCGGACACGUCCGGGCAGAGCCGGACGCGUCCGCCACCACCGCCCGGCCAACCAGGGGCUGCCACGUGGCCCUCCGCCGCUGCCCACCGCCGCCGACNNNNNNNNNNNNNNNNNNNNNNNNNNNNNNNNNNNNNNNNNNNNNNNNNNNNNNNNNNNNNNNNNNNNNNNNNNNNNNNNNNNNNNNNNNNNNNNNNNNNNNNNNNNNNNNNNNNNNNNNNNNNNNNNNNNNNNNNNNNNNNNNNNNNNNNNNNNNNNNNNNNNNNNNNNNNNNNNNNNNNNNNNNNNNNNNNNNNNNNNNNNNNNNNNNNNNNNNNNNNNNNNNNNNNNNNNNNNNNNNNNNNNNNNNNNNNNNNNNNNNNNNNNNNNNNNNNNNNNNNNNNNNNNNNNNNNNNNNNNNNNNNNNNNNNNNNNNNNNNNNNNNNNNNNNNNNNNNNNNNNNNNNNNNNNNNNNNNNNNNNNNNNNNNNNNNNNNNNNNNNNNNNNNNNNNNNNNNNNNNNNNNNNNNNNNNNNNNNNNNNNNNNNNNNNNNNNNNNNNNNNNNNNNNNNNNNNNNNNNNNNNNNNNNNNNNNNNNNNNNNNNNNNNNNNNNNNNNNNNNNNNNNNNNNNNNNNNNNNNNNNNNNNNNNNNNNNNNNNNNNNNNNNNNNNNNNNNNNNNNNNNNNNNNNNNNNNNNNNNNNNNNNNNNUCCUGCCGCCGCCAUCCGCCGCCGACUCCACCGCGGUCCUUGGCCAAGCUCCUCCAUCGCGUGCCGUCCUCGCCGGAUCCGGCCACCUCGACCUGCUCCGGCCUCUCCCCGCUGUCCCUGACGUCCUCCGGCCGCCGCGUCCCACGUCUCCGGCGAGAGCAACUUCUACGAACCUCGUGGACCGCGCCAGAUCUAGAUCAGAACCCUAGAGGUUGACCCAAUUUUUGCCAGUCAUUUUCAUCUGCUAUAUUUUCAAGCACUGUUCAACAUGCCAUAAAUCCUCAUCCAUAGCUCCGUUUUGUGCGUGCCAUAUAUCAAAAUGUUCAUCUUGAUGUGCUCUUAAUUUUGUUCCAUUGUGACCUGCUUCUUUGAGUCCAUCUUGAUGCCCAACUCAUGGGUGCAAGAGUGCUAUAAAAUGUUAGUUCCUGUUUCUUAGUAGAGUAUGAGCAUUUGCCAUUUUUGCUACAAUCGUUGUGUGCUUCAUAUGGGCAUGAGCUUUACAUGUGUUUUGGGCUAUGCCAUGCCAUCUUUACAGGUGUGUAUGCCAUGUAUUUUUGUGAUCAAUGUGGUGACUAGCACAAGCAUGCAAAGUAGCUCUCAUAAUAUUACUGAUUUCAGGGACUUAGAAUUUCACUAAGUCAUUGCUCUGCUGUUAUUUUUAUGCCAUGUAUUCAUGUUGCUAUAGUGAGAUCCAUGCAUCUUUUUAGUAUAUUAAGUAAGGAUCAUUUUGACAUAUGGUUAUGCUCUAUCCAUCGAUGCUCCUGUUUGAAUUUAUGGAGUGCCCUAGAAUGACUCAAUCUCGCUCCAUGUUUGCUAUAAAAUGUUCCUGGCAGAUUGUUUACGUGUUAAUCAAUUUUGCCAUGGUUGUUCUUGCUGUGGUUAGCUUCACGAUCAUGUCUUCUUGCUGGUAGUAUGCUUAGCUUGUGAUGCAAGGCUUCGUGAUGAGUGAAUCGAGGUCGCAAAGAUGCCUUCAUUACUCUGUUUUUGCCAUGUCCAGUUUUCUGCUAAGUUUGAAUCUGUUAACGAAACUUGCUAUGUUUACAUGGGUGCCAUCAUAUGUUCGGAUCCUUUUUGGCUUAUGGCCAAUAAGGGAGUUUUGUUAUAUGCUUUGAGUAGAGUCAUGCCAUGCCUUGUAUUUCUAUGUUCUGUUCCUGUAGCAUGUUGUUAUAUUGCUCUAAACAUUGCUUCCUGAUGUUAAUUCCUGGCAUGUUAGUAUUUUCACUAAGUCUGUGAAGCUGAUAUCUUUUGCCCUUUUGCCAUGCUUGUUUGAACCUGCUAUUCUGUGAUUUACCCGUAGCUCAGUGUUCAUGUUUUUUCAAGCAUCUUGAGUAGAUCACUGCCAUGUGCUUUAUUGUUAUGUUGUAGUGUAGUAGCUUAGUUUCUUGUUGCAUUCUAGAUGGCUUCGUGUUGUUAAUCGCAGAAUUGUGCCAUUAUAGUUUUGAUUGCCAUUUGCAAACCGUGCAUCUGAUUUCGGUGAUCUUUAUAUCGAUCUCGACCGAAACCAACUCGUCUUUCCAGCGGCGCACUUGGUUUGCCAAGUUGAGGCAUGGUUCAAUCUUUUCCUUCCGGAGCACGCAUAUGCAUUGCAUAUCACAUCCCGCAUGUCAUGCCAUGUUUUGCAUCACGUUGCUUGCGCAUUGCACCGUGGUUGAUUGUGGUUUCUGUUGAUUGUGUUCUUGCCUUGGGUAGAGCCGGGAGACGAGUUCGUGAUUGAGGAACCCAUUGAGUACGCUUACGAGGAUCAAGCUUUCGUCAACUCGGAGAACUUUGCAGGCAAGAUGACCAUACCCUCGAAAUCACUUCUAUCUUUGCUUGCUAGUUGCUCACUCUAUUGCUAUGUCACGGUACUUACCACUUGUUAUAUCAUGCCUCCCAUUUGCCAUGACAAGCCUCUAACCCACCUUUCCUAGCAAACCAUUGUUUGUCUAUGUUACCGCUUUGCUCAGCCCCUCUUAUAGUGUUGCUAGUUGCAGGUGAAGAUGGAGUUUGUUCCUUGUUGGAACAUGAUUAUUGUUGGGAUAUCAUUAUUAUAUCUUGUUACUUUAAUGCACCUAUAUACUUGGUAAAGGGUGGAAGGCUCGGCCUUAUGCCUGGUGUUUUGUUCCACUCUUGCCGCCCUAGUUUCCGUCAUACUAGUGUUAUGUUCCUUGAUUUUGCGUUCCUUACGCGGUUGGCUUAUAAUGGGAACCCCUUGACAGUUCGCCUUGAAUAAAACUCCUCCAGCAAGGCCCAACCUUGGUUUUACCAUUUGCCACCUAAGCCUUUUUCCCUUGGGUUCCGCGGACUCAAGGGUCAUCUUUAUUUUAAACCCCCGAGCCAGUGCUCCUCUGAGUGUUGGUCCAAACUAGAGCACCGUGCGGGGCCGUCCCUUGGCAACUUGAGUUACGUUGGCUCCUGUACGCUUAGCUUCUCCAGUGUGCCCUGAGAACGAGAUAUGUGGAGCUCCUAUCAGGAUUUGUCGGCACAAUGGGUGGUCUUUCUGGUCUUGUUUUACCAUUGUCGAAAUGUCUUGUAACCGAGAUUCCGAGUCUGAUCGGGUCUUCCUGGGAGAAAGAAUAUUGUUCGUUGACCAUGAGAGCUUGUGAUGGGCUAAGUUGGGACACCCCUGCAGGGUUUCGAACUUUCGAAAGCCAGGCCCGUAGUUAUGGGCAGAUGGGAAUUUGUUAAUGUCUGGUUGUAGAAAACUUGAAACUUAACUUAAUUAAAAUGAAUCAACCACGUGUGUAGCCGUGAUGGUCUCUUUUCAGGGGAGUCCGGGAAGAGAACACAGUCUCGUGUUAUGCUUGAACGUAGGUAGUUUCAGGAUCACUGCUUGAUCUUUAUAGAUUCUCAACCAUGCCUUGCUUCUCUUCUUUCUCUCAUUUGCGUAAUUUAGCCACCAUAUAUGCUAGUGCUUGCUGCAGCCAUACCUCACUACUACCUUUUCAUACCCAUAAGUUUAAAUAAUCUUGAUCACGAAGGUGUGAGAUUGCUGGGUCCCCGUGACUCACAGAUUACUUCCAAAACCAGAUGCAGGUGCCGAUGAUGUCAGUGCAGGGGACGCGACCAAACUCUAGUUGGAGUUUGACGAAGAUUCUGGACGUUACUAUGUGUCUUUUCCGGACGAUCGGUAGAGGAGCCCAGUUGGGGCGAUCGGGGGUCUAUUGCAUUAGGGGUUGUCUUUCUUUAUUUGGUUCCGUAGUCGGACCUUGAUUGUAUCUGGAUGAUGUAAUGCUAUAUUUAUGUAUUGUGAAGUGGCGAUUGUAAGCCAACUCUUUAUCCCUUUCAUAUUCAGUACAUGGGAUGUGUAAAGAUUACCCCUCUUGCGACAUGCCUACUAUGCGGUUAUGCCUCUAAGUCAUGCUCCAACACGUGGGAGAUAUAGCCACAUCAUGGGUGUUACAUCAUAUGAAGUCUAAAAUUAUCAAACUUGGCAUGUGGACAAAGUACUCAUAGCGUACUUCAAAUCAUGUAACUGGGGCACCUCCAAAAGAGACAUAGUUUAAUUAAUAACAAGCUCACAACAUGGCAUCAUGAAGUUAACAGAAAACUAGAGCAUCAUUUAGGCAUGUUCAUGGCAAUGAAAACAUAUGCUACAGGACAUAUAUGAGGCAUCAAAUGGAAUGGCAUGAUAGAGCAUAACAUUAACAUCCAAACAUGUCAACUAUUCAUCUCCAGAUUAUGCAUGGAAUAGAUGGUAGCAUCAAACUAACAUGACAUCACAAUGUAAUAGUUAUAGACAUAGAAAAAAUCACCAAGUCUCAUAAAUCAGCAACAUCAAGUAGCACACUUCACAAGCUUGUGCUAGUCACCACACAUAAAAAUACAUGGAUUGCCCCUCUGUAAAGAUGGCAUGAAGAUGCUCCUAAACCAUGUUGACAUGAUGCUCAAAAUAUGAACACACAAAAUACUAUGAAAAAGACAAAUCAGCAAGUUAUAACAAUUUUCAGCAGUUAACAACACAUGGCACUAUUGCAACAAUGAUUAAGGCAUCAAGAUUAACAUUAAAAUGCAUGCAAAUGACACUACAAUGUAGAGCAUUCAUAGACGAACAAUUUGACAUAACAUGCACGCAAAACGGAGCAAUAUGCGUGAAGUUACGACAUGAUGAGCAUGCACACAUGAUGUUCGAAUCUGGGGACUUAGCAAAAAUUAUACCCUCCAAAAAAGUCAAUGCGGGAUGAGGAGAAGCGGGACGGAGGGAUCCGGGCAUGGAGGCGACGUUUGGUUAGGCGAACCGGUGGAUCUGGUCCACCUCCGGAUCCGGCGACGGAGGAGGACGCCGGCGAGGCUUUCCGGCGAGUGCGAGGUCUGGGAAGGGCGGCGGUGGCGUGGCGAGGCUCCGGCAGCAAGGCGCGGUUGUCAGUGUCAAAACCGGCUGAUCUCGGGCAGGGGGUCCCGAACUGUGCAUCUAGGAUCGAUGGUAAUAGAAGACGAGGGACACAAUGUUUACCCAGGCUCGGGCCCUCUCUAUGGAGGUAAUACCAUACUUCCUGCUUGAUUGAUUUUGAUGAAUAUGAGUAUUACAAGAGUUGAUCUACCAUGAGAUCGUAAUGGCUAAACCCUAAAAGUCUAGUUUGGCUAUGAUUAUUCAGGGCAUCUACGGACCUAGCCCUCCGGUUUAUAUAGACACGGAGGGAUCUAGGGUUACACAUGGUCGGUUAUAAAGAAAGGAAUCUUCAUAGUCGAUGCAAAAGCUUGCCUUCCAUGCCAAGGAGAGUCCCAUACGGACACGGGUAGAGUCUUCGGUCUUCAUAUCUUCACGGCCCAACAGUCCAGCCCAUAUCAAUAGGUCAGACGCCCGAGGACCCCAUGGUCCAGGACUCCCUCAGUAGCCCCUGAACCAAGCUUCAAUGACGAUGUGUCCGGCGCGUAGAUUGUCUUCUGCAUUGCAAGGCGGGUUCCACUUUUCCGAAUUCUCCAUGAUAGUUUCCGGAUCUGCAACACAAGUACCACACACGACAACAGGGAAUAUAAUAUUUCACGAGUACUAUCUGCUGACAACUUUUUUAUAAGAUGGCAUCACGUCUGUCAAGUUGUGAUUUCGAACCAUUUCCUAUUCCACAUUCGAGGUGCUUUUUUAUUGGCAUGUUUUGUCGAAGCAGAGAUCGUGUCCCCCUAUUGCGGGAUCCUCAUUAAUACGAGCGUGGGUAACCCAACCGUUCCACGGGAAAGAUUCCUUGGAAAUAGGCAGGUUCUUAGGCUUAGGAGGAGGCGUUCAAUACCAACCGCCUUUAUAAAGGAACCAAGGACUGUCCCGUUACGCCAAACCUCUCCUCAACCUUCCCAACCUCAAGUUUUAGCACCCAAGGUUCGACCUCAUUGCUCGAAGAUUCCCCAUCAUGUCCGGACCCAGCCCUCAAGGUCGAUGGGUGGCUUCCUCCGUCAUGGAGGAGGAUAUUGCAAAGCUUCCGGCGGCCAGAUACCUGACGCGGAGAUCCACCAUAGGCUCCCUGCUCAAGGACAGGUUGUUCCGACCCCCAGAUCUGGCGAGAGGGUUGUUUCUAUCUCUCACUUACUCCGAGGGCUAGGAUUCGCUCUCCACCCCUUUGUCCGGGGGCUAAUCUUUUAUUACAAACUAGAUUUUCUCGAUCUAGCUCCAGAUUCUUUCCUUCAUGCCUUGGUGUUUAUUGUCACGUGCGAGGCCAUCCUCUGAAUCCCCCCACACUUCGGCUUAUCCCUCAAGACCUUUGGUGUAAAGCCAAAGGUAGUUGACGGGGAACAAGUGGAGUGCGGUGGUGUUGUAGUAAGCCGGCUUACCAACACUCCCUGGCCAAAAGUUUCUUUCACUAAAUCUUCCAAUCAAUGGCAGCGAGAGUGGUUGUACGUUACAGAACCCCGUAGCACCAAGUGGGCAGCUACACCAGCGUUCCGUUCCAGCCCUCCAUUACAGCUUGCAUCAUGCGUUAAUAAGGGGCUGGACUGGGGAUCAAUCGAUGAAGUGCGGACUCUAUAGAGCCACAUCCGAACCCUCCUUGAGAGGGACAUCGAUCUUGUCAACGUGUUUCAAGUAAUGUUAAUCCGCCGAAUAUUGCCAUGCCAGCGUAGGCCUCUCCGCAUGUGGGAGUUUAAUCCAGAAGGGCCACGAACCCUCAAACACUUAUUCGGUUCUAUGCACAAAGGGAUGUGGAAGAUGUUUUUUGGGAAACGAAAACAUUGCCCGGACACCUCCGAAGACGUCGGCCUUGACUGCAACCGUCCGGACACCCCAGUAAGCCCUUGUCUUUCGAACACUUUGUAGUUAAGUAUAUUGUGAUAUGUUACCGAACAAAUUAUCUUCUUUCAGGGCUGGAUAAAGAAAGCGGAACUAAUUAGGUGUUCGGCCCCCCUUCACGAAGCCUCAGCGGAUUCCGUAUUAAGAUGGAUGCCGGCCCCAACACCAUACCAGAUGCAUGCGAACGAGGAGAAGAGGGGGAACGGGAGGACCAAAGAGGGCCUCCAUCUCGAAGAUAUUUUAGACGCCGUGUCCGGGUAGAUAAAACUCCCAUCACCCGAAGGCAAAAGUAAAGGGGAAGUCUACGUUCAUUCCCCCCAUGGCAAGAAAAGGGACGUCUCCGAAGAUUGGGAUGAAAAGGCUCCCAAGCGAGGCAAGAUGCCCCUGUCGGGCGGCUCGGGCUUGAAGGACGACAUUAUCGCGCAGUUCUCCAGCGAGGCCAAGCCUAAAUCGUAAGCAAACAAGGGCAUUUUACACAUACCCCAUUCCUCCCCUAUGACCAGGGUAACAUCUAAAAUGUAUGUUCUUUGCAGCUCGGCACACAAUCUUUCUCAACAAUCGUCUUCCUCAGGAGACCUUCUCCCAGAGAUGAUGGAAAGCGAGACGCCUCCACCAGUCUCCUCGCCCAAUAAGGUGGAUGACCUCGAGGUGUCGUCCUGGAGGGUCUCUCCUGAUCCGCAAGCGAUGCGAGGGGUGAUGAAAACAUGAGCCAAAGCUGAUGCUUCGGUAGCCCAGGGUCCAGGGACCAACAAUGAAGGCCCCGGACUGUGCGGCUUUCAGCCGGAGAUAACUCUAGGGGAGAAUGAAUGAAUCCCUACUACGGUUGGCGGGGGGUGGGGUCGUGAGAAGAGCGGAUCUAACAGGUAGCACAUGGUUCAUUUAUCCAGGUUCGGGCCGCGAGGAUGCGUAAAACCCGACUCCUGCUUUGGUGGAUUGUAUAUCUGUGUUCUUGAGCUAGCUAUGGGGCGUGAGGAGGUCCUAAAAGCCGAAUCCUUUUCCUGGUCACCUCGGGCCUCCUUUUAUAGAAAAAGGGGUUGCCACAGUGGCACAGAUGAGGUGGAAAGGGUACAGUGAUGCGAGGUUAUCCCUCGCAUUACAUGACAAGGCCCAUUUAAUGCGUCUUGCUUAGGUGUCCUUGCUUUAUCGGGGACAGUGGAGAGAUCUGUCUCGUCCGUCGCCACUCCUCCUUGUGUCGACACGCGCCCUGCCAGUGAUGCCUGAGAUGCCACGUAGGUAGGUAGGCAGCUGAGGUGGCGCAGUGGUGGGUCUUCACGAAGAUCUGCAUGCCGCCACGCAGGUGCCUGCCCAGCUGGUUGGGUCGGCAGUUGCAUGUGAACGGCGGUGGAGGUUUAGUCGGCGUGGGCCUGAUGGUGGCCCUGCGGGUGUUCUCGGAAAGGGCCUUACCGGGGCCCCGGCAAGGGUCUUGCCGAGGCGCCUGCUGUCAUCCCCGGAAAGGCGCUUGCCGGGGGCCUUGUGGUCUUCCUCGGCUGGGAUCCCGCCAAGGGUUGUCGUCUCCUUAGUGUGUAUCUGGUCUUGAAUGUCUUCACGAAGAUCUGCAUGCCGCCACGGGGAUGUCUCCCGAAUCCUUGCCCUUUAGGGGCAAUGGACUCAAGGGUGAUUCGCUCCGUAGGCGCGGGACGAUUCGCCACGGCAAGGGUCUUGCCGGGGCUGCUAGAACUGUCUUCCGGCAAGGAUCUUGCCGGGGGAGUCCGCUUCGUCCCCUUUGCUCUUCAUGGUCUUGGCCUUGGUGUCGUAGUUCUCUUGAGCUUCGGUCUUACCCUGGCUCACCUCCCUUGCCUUGCUCGAUGUGGUGCUGCCUAUGGCUCAGACUUCUCGUGCACAGUUAUAGGGGUACAAAAAGUGUACCCCUUUUUUUGUACACCGAUAGGAGCCCCCGAGCCUGGGCCACACAUAAGCGCAACGCGUUGUUGGGCUAGGCCCAAAAACGGUGCGCGGGCAGGCGGGGCAGUUUUUACCGCGGUAAAAUUCUUCACGCGUUGCGCUUCCCACGAUUCCCCCGCGUGGCGCGGCGUGGGGAGGUGCGUGUGACGUGGGCAUCAUGCUUGGGGUUGGUUCCCGCAGGCAUGCGUCACAUCGUAGUAAAGGGGCGGUUCGUGCCUUCCCCAUAAACGGAGGGAGGCGUGGAGGCGCGGCCCAUUUACUGAAUGGGGCUGAGGCGCGGUCUUCAAGGCGUCCACUCCCCAUGAUCACGGGGUGGGGAGUGGUCGUCUCACCCGUCCCCUCGGUUCUGCACGUCCGCCAUGUGUCUCCCAUGCGCCUGGGGUGGCGAAUGGUCGAGGCGGGAAACUGGGCCGUCGCUGGUUGGGGCGGCGGGUCGGUCCUGGCUCCCUGCGCCUUCCGUCGCUGGUUGGCUCCAUUUUACGCUGAUGGAGGGUGGCCUUCUCUCCAUCAAGGUCUUCGGGUGCUUCGGUUCCCGUGAAAGGUGCUGCGUGGAGAGCUCUUCUGAUAGCGAAGAUUCCUCCUCGGGCGGGAGUGACGAGGAGGACAGCGGCAGCGACAACGAGGGUAGUAGGCGGCAGGAUGACGGGUCCGAUUAGGUGUCGGGUGCCGCUCCGUGCGGCACCGGCAACCCCAUCAUCCGUGUCGCAGGCUCCCUGAACUUCUCGGGGUCGUCUCCUUGGGCGGCUGGCAUUGGGAGGCUACAGAAGAGGAAGAGGGCGGGCGGCAACGCCGUCAAGUCGGAGCAUGCGGGCACCGAUGCCUUCGGCGCGUGCUGACGUCCUGCCGCCUCGUCUUCGAGCUGUGCUUCCGGCGCCGCCAUCACCACCCAGCCUUUGUACGGCCACCAAGAUGUUCUCUUGGUGUCUUCUGCCACCCGUAGCCCGCCUAGGCGCUCCUUUUGUCCUUUUCGCCUCCUUGACCUGCCUCCUGAGGCGAGGGACAAGAAAGGGAUUACGGGCACCUUAUCUCUUUUUAGUUUGUAAGCCUUCGAGCCUUUGUUGAAUUUAAAACUUGUAAUCCCAUCAUUCAUGUUUUUCAUUCCCUAUGGACUGUACCUGAGUGGAAUGUUUUUAAUGAAAAAGGGAUGCUUUGCUGGGUCAUUUGUUUGCAGGUGGAACCCAUGACAAGGAGUAAAUCCUUAACAUCCUCAAGAUAAACAUUUCCUUGCCCGGCAACAGGCCUUCCCGUCUCCCCACUUCACCUGACCUUCCUCACGCCUUUGGCGGAGGCAGGGAUGAGGCUGGUUCAGGCUCCUUGUUUCAUCCUUUCGUUGCCGCGACUACGACCAAACUUGGCCCCAGGAACGAGCCCUAGGGCCUAGAGUUAUCGGAGCAUGGUAGCUUAGGGGAAAACGAGGUUUCACAUACCUCAGUCCAUAAUGGAAUGCAUGAUAAGGGAUGAAGAACUUAUCUGAAGCUGUAGUCCCCGGCAACCCUGGUUCGCUGUGGGUGAAUCUUUGCUCUUGCAGCCCCCGGCAAUACUGGCUUGCCAGGGGCUAGAUGUUGGUCUGUUCCUCUUUUUUUCCUCCCCAAGUGGUUCGGCACGGAUAUCCGUGUGUUCUAUGAACCAAAGAAGACAAAAGAGAGACGCACACUCGACCUCUAAGCUAGGGGUUAGUCGCCGUUAAGCACUAUCAACCCUAACCAAGGACGAGACUCGACCUAGCAUGCAUGCUAUAACUUAGGGCACCAGCGCUUCAUUUACUUAUGCUCAGGGUCUGCGCCUGGCUUUGUACAGAGGGUUACAUGCGUCAUCGGCAAGGCUCGUACAAAAGGUGGCUUGCCGGGGGGCCCAACAAGCCGCGCCUCAUGGGUAAAACUUGCGAAGAUGCUCAAUGUUCCAAGAGUUACUCACCGGAAUGGCAUCUUUGGUCUCUAGGCGAACUGCGCCGGGCCUGGUGACUCGUAUUACCCGAGAAGGGCCUUCCCACUUUGGAGUCAACUUGUUGGAAUUUUUGGCCGAUUGAACGCGCCGAAGAAUAAGUUCGCCUUCCUCAAGGCUUCAGGCAUGAACCUUGCGGCCAUGGUAGCGGCGCAAGGCUUGCUGGUAGCGCACUGCUCUCACAGCCGCCCGAAGACGAUCUUCCUCAAGGAGCGUUGCGUCAUCUUGGCGCAGUUGCUUUUGCUCAAGCUCAUCAUAAGAGAGUACUCGAGGUGACCUGUAUAUGAGUUCAGUGGGGAGAACUGCUUCUGCCCUGUAUACCAGGGCAAAGGGUGUCUGGCCGGUGGCUCGAUUUGGCGUCGUUCUGAUUGACCAAAGAACCGCCAACAAUUCAUCAAUCCAGCGCCUUCCACUCUUGCACAGCCUGUCAAAGGUCUUUGUCCUUAAGCCUCGCAACACUUCAGCGUUUGCCCUCUCAGCUUGACCAUUGCUUCAUGGGUGAGCAAUGGAAGCGAAACAGACUUUGCUGCCGAGGUCUUGGGUAUAUUGCAUGAAGGUGCGGGUUGUGAAUUGUGUACCGUUGUCGGUGAUGACCCUGUUGGGUACACCAAAACGGCACACUAGUCCCUUGAAGAAUUUGACAGCUGACUGAGCUGUGACCUUCCUCACUGCUUCCACCUCUGGCCACUUUGUGAACUUGUCGAUUGCGUUGUACAAGUACUCAAAGCCCCCGACAGCGCGGGGGAAAGGGCCCAGUAUGUCGAACCCCCAGACCGAGAAAGGGCCAGGAGAGAGGAAUGGUUUGAAGGGCUUGAGCUGGCUGAUGAAGUUUCUUUGAAUGGAACUGACAUGCUUCACACCUGGUGACUAGUGUCGUCACAUCCUGGAGGGCAGUGGGACAGAAGAAGCCUUGCCGAAAUGCGGGCAAGGGCUCUUGACCCUAUGUGGGAUCCACAUAUGCCUCCAUGUAUCUCCGCCAACAGCCCCAGUCCUUCCUCUCGAGGGAUACACUUCAAUUUCACGCCGUUCGGCCUCUUUCUGUAUAGGACGUCAUCGACGAACUGGUACAUAGUAGAGCGACGGGCUACUUUUUCCGCUUCUUCCUGCUCCUCAGGAAGUUCCCCUGUUUGGAGGAAUCAGACGGUAUGUUGUGCCCACGCUGGAGCCUGGGGCUCGACGGUGAGGACUAAAUGCAUUUCCUCCGCUACAGGAGCGGCUGUCUCGACGACAAGAGCUUGAUGCUCCGCCGGAGCUAGCCAUCCCGUGGCAGGCUCAGUAUCUCCGGCAACAUCCUUGCCGGCGGCUCCGGGGAGCUCGGCGGGAAAGUACUUGCUGGGCCCUGAUUUCCUUCUCUUGUUUUGCUCUGUUGAUGGAUCAACGGAUGGUUGAGUUAGCUGAAGCACAAAGGUACCUGGUUCCAUAGGUAGCUUGAGGGCAGCGUGCUUUGACAGGUAAUUGGCGAUGUCGUUCUCGGCUCGGGGAACAUGCUCCGCCUGUAUACCAUCAAAAUGCUCUUCUAGCUUUCUCACUUCAUCGACGUAGGCCUUCAUCAAUGGGCUCUGGUAAUCUUUGUUUACUUGUUUGAUGACAAGUUGCGAGUCGCCCCUGACGAUGAGCUUCUUGAUUCUAAGGUCUGCCGCGAUCCUAAGACCAGCAAGCAGCCCCUCGUAUUCAGCAAUAUUGUUUGUUGACACCUCCCUGGGGAAGUGCAUCUGGAUCACGUACUUGAGGUGCUCUCCGGUGGGCGCGACAAGCAGUACGCCAGCCCCGGCGCCCUGUAAGGAGAAAGCUCCAUCAAAGUACAUGAUCCAGUCGCAACUUGCCUCCUUGCCGAGGAGAGCAGUCUCUUGAGUAUCUUUGCCAGGCGUCGCAGUCCAUUCUGCAACGAACUCCGCCAGGACUCGGCUUUGAAUCAUCGAGGCACUCUCAAACUUGAGGCCAAAGCUGGACAGUUCCAGUGCCCCCUCUACGAUCCUUCCCGUUGCGUCUGGAUUGUGCAAUAUCCGUUGCAGAGGGAGGCGAUUGAUGACAGUGAUUUCGUGCACCUGGAAGUAGUGACACAGCUUCCUCGAGGCCAUAAGAAGGCCGAAGAGCAGUUUCUGCACACCGGAGUACUUUGAUCUAGCCCCCUGCAAAAGGGAGCUAACAAAGUAGACCGGGUGCUGCAUCAUCUUCUUCCUUAGCAGCACUCCAACCGGCUGUGUCGUCUCGGCAUCGGUGGCAUUGGGCUCCGUCGCUGUUAUUACCUCAUCAAUAAUUUCUCUCUGCGCCACUAGUGUGGCGCUGACCACCUGGUUCGUUGCCGCCAGGUACAGCAACAACAGUUCCUGUGGCCUAGGCGCAACUAGUAUUGGCGCGGAGGAGAGGUUCCUCUUCAAAUCUUGCAAUGCUGCUUCGGCUUCUGGCGUCCACUCCAUCGGGCCCGCCUUUUUCAAAAUCUUGAAAAGGGAAGGGCGCGCUCGGCGGACAUGGAAAUGAACCUGCUCAUGGCGGCAACACAACCAGCAAGCCGAUGCACAUCCUUGACUCGAUUGAGCGCUUCAAUCUGCUCUAUAGCUUUGAUCUUGUCCGGAUUGGCCUCUAUCCCACGCUAUGACACAAAGAACCCGAGAAGCUUGCCAGAUGGGAUGCCGAAGACGCACUUCUCGGGGUUCAGCUUGAUAUUGAUCUUGCGUAGGUUUGCAAAUGUUUCUUGUAAAUCUGAUAUGAGGGCUGCCCUAUUCUUGGUUUUGACCACUAUAUCAUCCAUAUAAGCUUCCAUAUUUCUAUGGAGCUGGUGUUCAAAACCAAUCUGGACCGCCCUUGCAAACGUUGAACCAGCACUCUUCAACCCGAAAGGCAUCCGUAUAAAUCAAUACGUACCACAUGGGGUGAUGAAUGCCGUUUUCUCUUCAUCUUCCCUUGUCAUGAAGAUCUGGUGGUAGCCGGAGUAGGCAUCGAGGAAUGACAACAAAUCACACCCAGCUGUGGAGUCAACAAUCUGGUCGAUGCACGGCAACGGGAAGGGGUCUUUGGGACAAGCCUUAUUAAUAUCUGUGUAAUCAAUACACAACCUCCACUUCCCAUUUGCCUUGCGCACUACCACCGGAUUGGCCAACCACGUCGGAUGGAGCACUCCUCUUACCAAACCCGCUGCUUCCAAUUUCUGGAUCUCCUCUGUGAUGAACUCUUGUCAUUCGAAAGCUUGCUUUCUGACCUUCUACUUGACGGGCUGCACAUGAGGACAGACAGCAAGGUGGUGCUCAAUCACCUCCUUGGGAACGCCGGGGAUGUCGUAUGCUUGCCAUGCAAACACAUCGACAUUCGCCCGCAAGAAGGUGACGAGCGCGUCUUCCUAUUUGUCGUCAAGGGUGGAGCUUAUGGUAAAAGCUCCUCCCGCGCCGUCCUCCUUGACAGAAACCUUCUUGGUUCCCGCCAGUGUGGCCCCGGACUUCUUGUUUCUGUCGGCGGAGCUCUUGGCACGUCCUCGACGGGAGCGCUACACUCCGAAGAGGUGCGCUUGCCGGAGUGGGUGCCUGAGGUCUCACCGGUCUUCUUCUUUUGCCUUCCUGGGGCUCCAGUGGCAGGAGCAAGCGCCUUAGCAGUGGCAGCUGCUGCAACUGCUUGUUGGUAGAGUUGGUCAGCGCAAAUUAGCGCAUCCUUCUUGUUUGACGGGACGGUGAUGAUCAUCAUAGGCCCCGACAUCUUCAGGGUGUUGUAGGCAUAAUGUGACGCCGCCAUGAACUUGGCCAGCGCUGGGCGGCCAAGGAUCCCGUUGUAAGGCAAGGGGAUUUUGGCAACGUCGAACACAACCCUUUCUGUCCUGUAGUUUAGAUCACUCCCAAAAGUCACAGGCAAUGUGACCUUUCCCUUUGGUUGACUUCUUCCCGGGUGUACCCCCUGAAACGUGCCCGUCUCUUCGAGGUCUUCAUCAGGAAUCUGCAAUUUCUCGAUCACGGCAGGCGAGAUUAAGUUCAGACCGGCCCCACCAUCGACUAGCAUCUUUGUCACCUUGAGGUUGCGUAUUGUUGGUGAAACCAACAAUGGCAAGCACCCGACUGCAGUAGUGCGAUCAGGGUGAUCCUCAGUGUAAAAAAUGAUAGGUGUGCUGGACAACUUCAGCGGCCUUUGGGCAUCAAAUGAUGGUUACGCCGCUGUAAUCUCAUGCGCCCACUGUUUAAGCUGGCGGUGAGAGGUAUGCAGGGAGGCACCGCCAUCGACGCACAUGGCCUCUGUAGCUUUCUGAAAUCCUUGGUCACCAGACUCAUCGUCCUCUUCGUGAUCAUCGUCUUCUGGCUUUUUGUCACGGCCCCGCGCGGGCCUCUCCCGUUGUUUAUCUUUGCCGCGACGGCCCGCAUGGCAAUCACGCUUCUUGCCGGACCCCUCAGCACCGUCCUGGCCUUUCUCCUUGUCCCGCCUCUCAUAUUCAGCCCUCCGCUUCUCAGCAAGGAGCUCAACCUGUCGGCAGUUCUGGAGAUCAUGGCCUUUGGUGCGAUUGAUCUUGCAGUCUUGCUUGUCGGAGCUUCCUGGCUUCUCGGCAGCCGCCAAGGCCCGGCAGGCGACACAUCUGGCAGUUUCCUUACCGGGGUCAUCUGCCUUGGUUUUCUUGGCAGAGCCGGAGUUGCCAGAUCCCUCGACGGCAAGCACAGCUUUACCUUUGCGCUUCCUGUUGCGGCGCCGGCCUUUCUUCGCCGGGGCGGCAGUAUCCUCAUCUGAGGAGUUGGUUUCCACGCCGGCAUCUUCGCCGGGGUACUUCCUUCCCUCUUCAGCUCGGGCACAUUUGUCAGCAAGAACAUAGAGUUCUGCCACAUCUUUCACCUUGUUCAUUGCCAGUUCUUCGCGCAUCUUGCGGUUGCGCACGUUCUGAUGGAACGCGCUGAUGAUGGCGGCAGGGUGAACAUCAGGGAUAUUGUACUGUACCCGGCUGAACCUCUGUAUAUACUUGCGCAGACUCUCGCCUCCCUUCUGGGGAAUGACAUGCAGGUCGCUUGCUUGGCCAUGGGCUUGGUGACCCCCAGUAAAGGCACCCACAAACUCAUGGCACAAAUCCGACCAGGAGGAAAUAGAGUCUACCGGCAAGUGCAUUAACCACGACAUGGCGUUGGCUUUAAGAGCCAAUGGAAAGUAAUUCGCAAGCACCUUAUCGUCGCGGGCUCCGGCGGCUUGCAUCGCGAUGGUGUAGAUGCUGAGGAACUCAGACGGGUGAGUCUUGCCGCUGUACUUUUAGCCAACGUCAGGUUUGAAGGUGCGGUGAGUGGGCCACUGGAAAUGCCGCAGCUCACGGGUAAAAGCGGACAGCCUAUCUCGUAAGGUAGGCCUCCAGGGCUCUCCAGGGCCGGGUGGUUCACAGCAGGCCUGUAACGCCCUCGAUGUGGCUAUAUCUCCUACGUGUCGAAGCACGACUUAGAGGCAUAACCGCAUUGAAAGCAAUGUCGCAAGUAAGGUAAUCUUCACAACAUCCCAUGUAAUACAUAAUAAGGGGAAAUGUAACAUAGUUGGCUUACACUCGCCACGUCACACAAAGUACAUAAAUAGCAUUACAUCAUCCAAUCACUCAUGGCCUGACUACGGUGCUAAAAUAAAAGAUCAACCCAACAUGCGACACGGUCUCGAUCGCCCCAACUGGGCACCACUACUAAUCAGCAGGGAAAGACACAUAAUAACGGCGUGAGUCCUCGUCGCACUCCCACUUGAGCUCAAGCGCGUCGUCUAGAGCGGAAUCAUCAGGCCCUGCAUCUGGUUUGGAAGUAAUCUGUGAGCCACAGGGACUCAGCAAUCUCGCACCCUCGCGAUCAAGACUAUUUAAGAUUAUAGGUAUGGUAAGGUAAUUAUGUGGAGCUGCAGCAAGCAACUAGCAUGUAUGGUGGCUAACCUAUUCGCAAAAGAGAGCGAGAAGAGAAGGCAAGCAUUAGUCCAACACCGUGUUCACUUCCCGGACUCCGCCGAGAAGAGACCAUCACGGUAACUCACACAGUUGAUUCAUUUUAAUUAAGUUAAGGUUCAAGUUAUCUAGAACCAGACAUUAACAAAUUCCCAUCUGCCCAUAACCGCGGGCACGGCCUUCGAAAGUUCAAUGCCUGUAGGGGGGUCCCAACUUAGCCCAUGACAAGCUCUCACGGUCAACAAAGGAUAUACCUUCUCCCGAGACAUUCCGAUCAGACUCGGUAUCCCGGUUCUACAAGACACUUCGACAAGUUAAAACAAAUCCAGCAACACCACCCAGAUGUGCCGACAAAUCCCGAUAGGAGCUACACAUAUCUCGUUCUCAGGGCACACCGGAUGAGCAAGACGUCGGGUAGGCCAGCCCAGAUUUGCCCCUGGUAGCCCCGGACAUCGCUCGAUUGGACCAACACUUAGAGAAGCACUGGCCCGGGGGUGUUUAAAAUAAGAUGACCCUUGAGUCCGCGAAACCCAAGGGAAAAAAGGCUAGGUGGCGAAUGGUAAAACCAAUGUUGGGCAUUGCUGGAGGAGUUUUAUUCAAGGCGAACUAUCAAGGGGUUCCGAUUAUCACCCAACCGCGUAAUGAACGCAAAAUCCGGGAACAUAACACCAAUAUGACGGAAACUAGGGCGGCAAGAGUGGAACAAAACACAAGGCAAAAGGCCGAGCCUUCCACCAUUUACCAAGUAUAUAGAUGCAUUAAGAUAACAAGAUAAUAUAGUGAUAUCCCAACAAGUAAAUAAUGUUCCAACAAGGAACGGUCUCCAAUCUUCACCUGCAACUAGCAACGCUAUAAGAGGGGCUGAGCCAAAGCGGUAACAUAGCCAAUCAAUGGUUUGCUAGGACAUGGUGGGUUAGAGGUUUGACAUGGCAAUUUGAGAGGCAUGAUAAGCAAGUGGUAGGCAUCAUAGCAUAGGCAUAGCAAAAGAGCGAGCAUCUAGCAAAGCAAAGAUAGAAGUGAUUUCGAGGGUAUGAUCAUCUUGCCUGCAAAGUUGUCAGAGUUGACUGGAUCCUCGAAAGCAAACUCAAUGGGCUCCUCGUUAGCGAACUUGUCUCCUGGCUCUACCCAAACAAGACAAACAAGCAAAAGGGAUGCAAUCAACCAUGUGCACAACUCAAACAACACGAUGCAAACAUGGUAUGCUAUGCGGGAUGCGAUAUGGGAUGCAUAUGCAAGAUUCGGCAAGGAAUGAAUGAACCUAGGCUCAACUUGUAAAUCCAAGUGUUCCAAUGGAAAUGUGAGAUGAUUUCGCUUGAAAACGAUAUAAAGAACGCCGGAAUCUGAGACACGGUUUAAAAAUGGCAAGCAAAACAAGAAUGGCGCCGGUCUGCGAUAAACAGCAAGUAGCCAUCUAAAUGCAACAAGUUAAACAUGCUACAGCACCGAAACAUGGCAACAAAAUACAUGGCAGGGAUCCACUCAUGAUGCUUAACAAAAGAUGAACACUGAGCUACGGCCAAAUCAUCCAUUAACAGGUUCAAACAAGCUUGGCAAAGGUGCAAUUGGUAAACAGAUUUCAGACUUAGUGAAAUUAACACUUGUCUGGAAUUUCAGAUCAGGUAGCACACUUUGGAGCAUGAAGACUAUAUGCUACAGGGCCUGAAUCUGGCAAAGCAAAGCACGGAAUGGAGCUACUCAAAGAGCUUAACAAAAGUCCCUUAGUGACCUUGAGCCAAAAGGGAUCAGAAAAUACAAUUGCAAGCAUGUGAACAUGGCAAAAACUUAAACAGAUCACAGGCUUAGUGAAAAACUAGAGCAUGAAAAACAGAUAUCAAGUAGGCAUGUUUACGAGCUCGAUGCACUCACUACAGAGCAUGUCAUGACAAUCUAAGCAUACACCCAUCAAGAAUACACAUUAUACGAGCUAGACAUGGCAAGAACAAUAACAUAGCAUGCACGGACCAACUACAACAUCCUCGGCAAAAUCGCUAACAAGUAGACAAUCUGCCCAGAUUCACGAAAUGACAAAAGUAGAACUCGAUUGUCUCAAGCUAGGGUGCUCCAUAAUUGCAAACAAAGACAUGGAUGGAUAGAGCACUACAAGAUGAAAAAAAUCAUCCUUACUGAUCAUCCUCAAAAGAGGCACAGAUCACCAGGAAACAACAUGAACAUAUGGCAUAUUGAUAAGAACAGCUCAAGGACUUGGUGGAAUUGCUAAGUCCCUGAAAUCAGCAUUAACGAAUGCACCACUUUGCAAGCUUGUGCUAGUCACCACACACAUCACAAAAAUACAUGCAUGGCACCUCUGGAAAGUUGACAACUCAUAUAACAAAACAUAUGUAGAGCUCAGGGGCAUAUCAUGCACACAAUAAUCAUGGCAAAAAUGACAAAUAGCUAAUUGGAUCAGCAGAUCUGGCAAUUAUCUCAAAUAGCAAUCUUCCAACAGCAUUUCUGGCAUCAAGAUGAACUCAAAUGAAAAUGAUGCAAUGAGAUGAAAUGAUGUGCUCUCUGAGACGAACAUUUUGAUAUGCUAUAUGCCCAAAACGGAUCUACGGCUGCAAAGUUACGGCACGAUGAACAUGGCAAUAUAUUUAGGGUUAGGGACGAAAAGUCAACCGAGGGGAUAUUUACCAGAUCUAGAUCCCGCGCGGCACGCUUUAUGAGGAUCGCCGGAGUCGGAGCUCGAGGACCUCGCCGGAGUUGGAAGGUCGGCCGGAGGGGGUGCGGGCGUGGAGGAGGAGGUGCGGCCCGCGGUGGCCGCGGGCGUCGCCGGCGCUGGACNNNNNNNNNNNNNNNNNNNNNNNNNNNNNNNNNNNNNNNNNNNNNNNNNNNNNNNNNNNNNNNNNNNNNNNNNNNNNNNNNNNNNNNNNNNNNNNNNNNNNNNNNNNNNNNNNNNNNNNNNNNNNNNNNNNNNNNNNNNNNNNNNNNNNNNNNNNNNNNNNNNNNNNNNNNNNNNNNNNNNNNNNNNNNNNNNNNNNNNNNNNNNNNNNNNNNNNNNNNNNNNNNNNNNNNNNNNNNNNNNNNNNNNNNNNNNNNNNNNNNNNNNNNNNNNNNNNNNNNNNNNNNNNNNNNNNNNNNNNNNNNNNNNNNNNNNNNNNNNNNNNNNNNNNNNNNNNNNNNNNNNNNNNNNGUUGGCGGUGAGUUGCGGUGCGGCCGGUGGGCGGUGAGGCGGUCGCCGGAGAGCUUGGCCGUGGUGCUUGCGGCGAGGCACGGCGGCUCGAGCGGUCGGCGUCGAAGGAGGAGAGCCCGAGCCUCUUCGGGCCCGGACGGCGUUGGGAGGGGGCCCGCCCUGGGCCCGAGCGGGCCGGCGGCGCUGGCGCCGCGAAGUGGGGCUAGGGCCAUGUGGCAAGGCCUGGUAGGUCGGCGGCGGCGGGCGAACAACGUCCGGCCGUCCGGAUUUUGUCCGGCGGCUGGAGGAGGAGGGGGGCUAGGGUUUCAACCGGGAUUUCGAAUCGGGGUGGUAUUUAUAGGCAUAGAGGGAGCUAGGAGUGUCCAAAUGUGGUGCAGUUUUCGGCCACACGAUCGUGAUCGAACGCUCUAGAUGAUGGAGAGAGUUUUGGUGGGUUUUGGGCCAAAUUGGAGGGGUGUUGGGCUGCAACACACACGAGGCCUUUUCGGCCACUCGGUUAACUGUUGGAGCAUCAAACGAAGUCCAAAUGGUAUGAAACUUGACAGGCGGUCUACCGGUAGUAAACCAAGGCCGCUUGGCAAGUCUCGUUCCAAUCCGGAAAUGUUUAGUCCCCACACACGAAAGAAAGGUAGAAAUGACUACCGGAGGAGAACGGAGAGCCGGAAUGCAAAACGUACAACGGGGAAAAUGUUCGGAUGCAUGAGAUGAACACGUAUGCAAAUGCAAUGCACAUGAUGACAUGAUAUGAGAUGCAUGACAACGACAACAACACACAGAGACAAAAACCCGAACCCGAGAAAAUUAAAAUAACUUAGCACCGGAAACGGCAAGAGUUGGAGUACAUAUUAGGUAAAUCAUAUCUGGGGUGUUACAAGGCCCUGCUCGCCUGUCUGACUGGUGGCGCACUCCGCGCCGGCGCUCGAUAGUGGUUCGAGCGUCUUCAUGGGCUCGUUCCCAAAGAACUUGGCGCUAGUCAAAGUGGGUCCGCGGGUCAGACGAUGCUAUGGAGAUGGCGUUGCCCACGACGUCGCGCCAAGCCGGCGUCCGCGGUACCGGAUGGGGAGGAGGUGAAUGCAUCAUGGUUGCGGCGCCACCGGCUUUUUUGCCACUGGUCCGCGGGACUCCAUCGGAGCGUCGACCCGGGGGCCCCACCGGACUUGGUUCAUCUUUGUUGGCCACCGCAACAAGGCUUCGGAUAGUGGCUCUCCAUUCGUCGAGUUUCCCCGUGGUGGGAGGAAAGUCGAGGAACAACUGCGCGCGCCAGGGCCUCUGCUGGCGUUGGUGGCAGUGAAACCUACACGGAUCACGACGCGCUUCGACUUCUAACCAUGUCAGAAGGAGCUCUAUCACGACCCCGCGGUUGCAUGCCGUUUUCACCAGUGCCUCGGCGAGUGGGCAGGUCUUCUACGUCCCGAGAGUGGCGCUCGGGGCUCUUCCCGCGGCGACGCCCGGGAUCUUCGGCGUGGUUACGCCAUUCGUCGCACGCUGCCUGGGAGGAGCGCGCUGUUGACGCCAACGUGGGAGUCUUGGAGGCCCUCGCGUCGCCUUCGGGCGGGGCGGCGAUGACCUUGGAAGGCCCCUCUCCACCCGUGAAGGACUUGGCUCCGCCAUUGGAUUUGGCGACGUGUGGCCCGUUACCAGGCGCACAAACAUUGCCGCCUCCCAAACUCCGGCUGCUGGGAUGGUGUUGGUGUUCGCGAGCAGCGCCCCGGGUCCUCUCUGCGACCGGUCCGCAGCUCGCACGUGUCGGGACGGGCUGUCCGGCUUCCGACUGGCCAACCGCCACCGGCGUCUUCUUCUUGGGUGCCAUGAUGACGAAGAAGCGCCGAACUAACUGCUAAAGCCGAUUCUCACAACUGCGGCCCCCUACCUGGCGCACCAGAGAUGUCGGUGUGGAACGACACCUAUGGGAUCACAAGAAUCCCUACUACGGUUGGCGGGGCGCGGGGUCGUGAGAAGAGCGGAUCUAACAGGUAGCACACGGUUUGUUUAUCCAGGUUCGGGCCACAAGGAUGCGUAAAACCCUACUCCUGCUUUGGUGGAUUGUAUAUCUGUGUUCUUGAGCUAGCUAUGGGGCGUGAGGAGCUCCAAAAAGCUGAAUCUUUCUCCUGGUCGCCUCGGGCAUCCUUUUAUAGAAAAAGGGGUUGCCACAGUGGCACACAGGAGGUGGAAAGGGUACAGUGAUGCGAGGUUAUCCCUCGCAUUACAUGACAAGGCGCAUUUAAUGCGUCUUGCUUAGGUGUCCUUGCUUUAUCGGGGACGGGGGAGAGAUCUGUCUCGUCCGUCGCCGCUCCUCCUUGUGUCGACACCCGCCCUGGCCAGCGACGCCUGCGAUGCCAUGUAGGUAGGCAGGCAGCUGAGGUGGCGCAGUGGUGGGUCUUCACGAAGAUCUGCAUGCCGCCACGCAGGUGCCUGCCUAGCUGGUUGGGUCGGCAGCUGCAUGCGAAUGGCAGUGGAGGUUUAGUCGGCGUGGGCCUGAUGGUGGCCCUGUGGGUGUCCUCGGCAAGGGCCUUGCCGGGGCCCCGGCAAGGGUCUUGCCGAGGCGCCUGCUGUUAUCCCCGGCAAGGCUCUUGCCAGGGGCCUUGUGGUCUUCCUCGGCUGGGAUCCCGCCAAGGGUUGUCGUCUCCUUAGUGCGUAUCUGAUCUUGAAUGUCUUCACAAAGAUCUGCAUGCCUCCACGGGGAUGUCUCCCGAAUCCUUGCCCUUUAGGGGCAGUGGACUCAAGGGUGAUUCGCUCCGUAGGCGUGGGACGAGUCACCGUGGCAAGGGUCUUGCCGGGGCUGCUAGAACUGUCUUCCGGCAAGGAUCUUGCCGGGGGAGUCCGCUUCGUCCCCUUUGCUCUUCGUGGUCUUGGCCUUGGCUUCGUAGUUCUCUUGAGCUUUGGUCUUACCCUGGCUCACCUCCCUUUCCUUGCUCGAUGUGGUGGUGCCUGUGGCUCAGACUGCCCGUGCACAGUUAUAGGGGUACAAAAAGUGUACCCCUCUUUUUAUACACCGACACCUUUGAACGGAGGCUGUGCUGCUACAGCUGCUUCCGGAGACCCUGAAACGUCGGAUAUAUUGGCGAACAUGCUACGACAGGCGUCCGUCUCCGAAGACCAUCGUAACUUGGUGGUAUAGUGGUUAAAAAGGUCCUCUCCACAAAAAGCGGAUUGAAUGAAGCCUUCACGAGUCAACUAAGAGGUUUCGAGGUUUGUGAUGUAAUACUUUCAAUUUGUGUUUAUUCACAAAAUACUCCUAUGUAUAGAUAGUAGCCCCUGGGACUCUGAUAGGCUCCCCAAGGGAGGCAAUCAGAGUAUCAAAAAUAUUUAUCCAGGAAAUAAUAUGACUACUUGUAACACAGGCUAUUACUUCCCCUGCAACUGCCCGAUCCAUGGAGGUUGCGGAUCUACAGCAGAAGACUGUUGAGGCGGAUGAUGACAUCAUGUUGAUCGACAAGUGCCUUGACGAGGCGCAAGGUAUGUUUUUGGGUCAACUUGUAUAUUUAUGCAUGAUAACCUGAGCGUGAAGCUGGAAUUGUAUAUUAAGGCAUGCGUAACUACAUAUGGUGCUGCUGCGGUGGACGCCCUUCGGCCUGAGCUUGUCCUUGCCAAGGAACAAACACGGGUGAGUAAUCUGGCUGCCCAUAAGGCAGUUGAAGAAUUAAAACCGAACAGACUGUUCGGCACCAAUGUGAGGAAAGAAUUACUACGAUGGCGCGCAAACUGGAGGAGACCACUGUCCGGUGCGAAUUCCUUGAGAAGGAUAAAAACGCGAGAACAGCUGAUCUCAACAAGGCCUUGCAAGAAGCGAAACAAGCACGGUCUGAGUCUAGGGCGGUUUGGGAAGAGACCCGACAAGCUGGGGAUAUAGCGGCUGGCAAGCCUUUCUUAUUACUGAUGAAGUUCGGUGAUCCGAAGUAUUCCCCGCUAACCAAAUGUGGAGUUCUCCGGACCCUCUUUUAGACCUGCAGAAGAGCCUCCGAUGCAUCGCAAUUUUACCAAGUGCAAGAAGGGUGUGCCAAGGAGAAGAAUUUUUGGUCACAGUUCAGUGCGCCAAAGCAUCAAUUGUUAUUAAAUGAACAGAUGGCCCAGUGGGCCGAGCUCCAUAGGAUAUCUGGUUCCGCCAUGAAGGACGUCAUAGUCCGACUGUAGCCUACGGAGCCCAUUCCGAAUAGUUACUUCGGUUUGGUGCAUCGGCUUGUGGAUGCGGUGCCGCGUGUCGACGCCAUUAAGUGUUCAACGUGCAUUGAAGGUGCACGGAUGACCUUUUCCCAUGUCAAAACAUACUGGGCGAAGAUGAAGGCCACUGAUGUUGCCGCGAGGAGUCACCCCAAGGGUAAGGACCAUCUCGCACCCGAAAACUAUUUCGAGGACAUCUUAGAGGGUCCCCGCUUGAUAGAGGGUCUGUGCUCAAAAGAUAUGAUAUUUGAAUGAAAUAUAUUGAAUUGUAAAGGACACUAUAAUGGAAAUAUUAUGAUUUUUGCUUAAAAGUGUUUGGUUCUUCCUGUGCGGCCAUUGUUUGUAUAAUCUGAUAGUUUUCCAAUCGUCGACUUCAUCCCCCACGUAGGAAAUACGGGGGUGUUCGGGAAAGCAUAUGAUCACUCUUAACCCAACGUCUUGGUCCAUGAAUGGAGGUGUCAAUGUAGUGAACGAGGCAACCGGACUAUAGGGCGUUAACACUUUCACUUAGCCAUAGGAGUUUUAUGGUGGGUUUACGAUAUAAACCCUAGUAUGUAUGAUGUUAUCCCAAUGUGGUGCAUUCACAUGUAUGACCUAAACAAAAGGUCCUUAUUAUAAUACGGAGGGAAUCGCCAAAGAUUCCGAUAAGUUGUCGAGUGGUUGACCAGCUCUCGCUGCAUCAUGACAGUCAGUGUUCGGCUUUCUCUACUGAGGUGCUCGCUUGGGCAAACCAGUGCACAAUCGCAAUAGUUCUCCCUUUACUACCUUAGCCGAUAGAGCGGAACGUAAGGUAGCAAGCAGAGGAGUCGAGCAACCAAACUAUGGACCCAAGACAUGAUUCGGAGGUAAUGCAUAUAACGCCAAACUCGCGACACCGAAGUAUGCUAUAAAGUUGUUCGGACUUAUUGGCAAUUUAGUUUGUUCCCAUAUUGAGCCCCUGGCGGAGCGUCUGAAAUAACACAAGGAGCAAAUUAUAGUUCUUUAGAGAAAAGUCAAUACAAGAUAUAAAUUAUAUUCACUAGAACUUGAGUGACAUGCCAAUCAAUGUUUCGUAUAUAAUAACGCCACGACCCUGGCAAUUUGACAUAGCAAGGGUCGAUGGCUGAGGUAGAAAGGCACUUUACAGGCUCGCAAAAUAGAGAGUGUGGUCGUAAAAGUUGUUUUGGACCUCCUGUCACACGUCUGCGCCGCCUUUCCUUGAUGAAGGGGCUCCUUAAAGGGAGUAACUUUUGAAGAAAUGUACAAACCGGAACUCCGAUGGAGUCGGCGAGAUGACCAGCCUACGAGUCACCUAUGGUAAAAGGAUAAUGGAAAAAUAGAAAAAGUCGUCAGAAAAGAAUUGAAAAGAACGGAGUGAUAGAAGUACUUGUAGGCCCGUCCGUAUUAUGGCUCCGCUGAUGCCCAUGGUAUUUUGGGUGCAUAGUUAUGUAUGCGUGGUAUGGAUUUCGCAGGUGUAUGAGGUGGACGGCGGAGGCCGAACUGCUAGUCCAGUCCCAUAAUUGAUCGGUCCUGCUGAAUGGAGACCGACGGCUUAAUGGCCGACAAGGUAUGCGGUUUAAUAAGGCCGACUCGUACUCCGGCUAGAGGGAAGGUAGUAUGAUCCUUAGUCCGAAGGUAGUAUGUCUCAUGCUCCUCUCUAGGGGCGUGUGUUUUAUACCAUGUUCACUGUUUUUACCUUGGGGGAAAAUUGCUUCUGACCCUCGGUAUUUGUUUGGUGAAUCUCUUCGCCAUUGCUAUCAUUAGGCGGUCUUUUCCUCUUAUGUUCGGUGUUGAGCAUGCCGGCCUGUUUGAAGACCCAACCGCUUCCGUUGGUUUGAGUGGCUGGCUUAUCGGAAUUGCCAUGAAUCUGGCAGGGUCAAUCCAAUAUCUUGUCUAAGGCGGAUGGCUCAUCUCUGUUUGCCUUGAAUGGCUUUUUCCGUUGACCGGGUUUGGGGCCGCUGAAUCCGGCGUUGACCGCUAUGUCGCGCAUUCUCUUAUUAUCAUUGCGGCGUUUGUGUUUGCUCCGUCAUGCUUUUCCAUUGCCGUCUCGUACUUCGGAAGUACCUAGAUCGCUGGCACUGUUUCUUCUACGAGCGAGCCAGCUGUCUUCUCCCGCGCAAAAGCAGGUCAUCCGAGCGGUAAGGGAUGGCAUGGAUUUUAGUUUUUCUUGACCGAUGUGGUGGGCAAGCCACUCGUCCCGGACGCUGUGUUUGAAGGCCGCUAGGGCUUCCGCGUCCGGACAGUCGGCGAUUUGGUUCUUUUUAACUAAGAACCUAGUCCAGAGCUUCCUGGCUGACUCUUUGGGCUGUAUAUAGCUUAAGUCAUCGGCGUCUGGUGGCCGGACAUAUAUGCCUUGGAAGUUGUCGUCGAAGGCGUCUUCCAAAUCCUCCCAGCUGCCAAUAGAGUCUUUCGGGCAGACUGUUCAACCAGUGCCGAGCUGGACCUUUGAGUUUUAACGGGAGGUAUUUGAUGGCAUGAAGGUCAUCUCCGCGGGCCAUGUGAAUAUGGAGAAGGAAAUCCUCGAUCCAAAGCAUGGGAUCAGUUGUUCCAUCAUAUGAUUCGAUAUUCACUGGUUUAAACCCUUCCGGUAAUUCGUGCUCCAUUACUUCGUCUGUGAAGCAAAGAGGGUGUGCGGCGCCUCUAUGUUGGUCCACAUUGCGAUGUAUCUCCAAUGGAGUCUGUCUGCGGUUUUCGUCCCGGGUGUGACUAGGCUUGUCACGUCUGAAUAGAUAGCCAUUGUCACGUGUCGGGGCACGUCCUCGCGAUCCGUAGAUCAAUCUUGUAUGUCCUGCUCUAUUGUCCAGGUCCUGUUGACCACGAGCUGUGUUGUCUCUGCCUUUACGGUGAGGAGGGGCGGGCUGGUGUUCGGCUUGAGUUGCCGCUUUGUCCCGAACACAUGGUGGUCGGUUAGCCGCAUUGUGCGGUGAUGGUAUGGGCUCCGGUGCCUCAUCAUCGAACUGAGGUUGCAAUUUGUGCUUCGGGUAAAUUUUGACUGGGCGCUUGAGGCCGUAUACUUCGGCUACUAGGACAUCGGUCCAUCUGUCGUUGAGAAAAUCUUGGUCAGCUUGAAGCUGCUGCUGCAUCUUUUUCAGGCUCUUUGAAGUGGCUAUUAGCCGGCGCUUGAAGAGCUCCUGCUCCUCAGGUUCCUCAGGCACGAUAAAGUCCUCGCUGCUAAGACUCACCUGAUCCUCGGAGAGUGGAAGAUAAUUACUGUCCGGAUGAUCGUCCUAUUCGGCAGUUCUUUCAUCGGGAUCUUCUCUGACUUUAGCACCGUCGGAACUGUUGUCCUCUCCUGUGUCCGUAUCGCCAUUUAUUCCUUGACACGACUUAGAGCGGUGCCGCUGACGCCGGUGUUUUGGUUGUAUCACAGGAGGUUUGUCCUCAACUGGAUCUGCUUUCUCAUUGUCGUUUGUUCUCUUAGGUGUAUCCACCAUGUAUACGUCAUAGGAAGAGGUGGCUGUCCAAUGUUUGGUAAACGGUGGGUCUUGGCCCGGUUCUUCAUUGGCAUCGUCGUCCAUACCAUCGAUGUCUUCGGAGCUGUAGUCGAGUGAGUCAGUUAAGUUUUCAACAAUUUGUAUGAAGUGGGCAGUGGGUGGGAUGCAAAAUUUUCUGUUAUCAAUCUCCAGCUCGAACCGGAUAGAGCUCUUAACAAGUUUAGUACGUCGCCCAGAGGUGAAUGCCGGAAGAUGUUCGCGGCGCUGAAUUCGGUGAUCGAUGACCGAUCGUGCUCGAUGUGCGUGGAUGCGCAUAGUUCGGAACCUGUAGCCGGAGGCGGGUCCGUACUUCUGGUGGCAUAGAUGUCACUUGAAUUUAAGUCUGUGUCUGGCUCCAACACUGCUAAAACUGCGGAUUCCGCUGCGAGGUUGUGCUUCCCGUCUUCGGAUGGCGCGAUCUGCUCCGGAUCUAUGGCUGGAGCAGCUACAGGUACUACCUCCUACGUAUGGAUCGGUGACAGAUUUAGGUCAUGUUCAUCAUGGUGGCAGAGAGCGGCUGUCGUGGUCUCGAAUCCGUCGAAGAUCAAGUCUCCACGGAUAUACGCGAUGUAGUUCAAGUUUCCAAAUCUGACCCGGUGGCCAGGGGCGUAGCUUUCGAUCUACUCCAGAUGGCCAAGCGAGUUGGCCCGCGGUGCAAAGCUGUCGAACACGAAGAUCUGUCCGGGUAGGAAGACUUCCCCUUGGACAGCAUCGUUGUAGAUGAUUUAAGGAGCCAUCAAACCUUUUGAGGAUGGCACAGUGGAACUCUCAAUUAAAGAACCAAUGUCGGUGUCAAAACCGGCGGAUCUCGGGUAGGGGGUCCCGAACUGUGCGUCCAGGAUUGAUGGUAACAGGAGACGAGGGACACAAUGUUUGCCCAGGUUCGGGCCCUCUCUAUGGAGGUAAUACCCUACUUCCUGCUUUAUUGAUCUUCAUGAAUAUGAGUAUUACAAGAGUUGAUCUACCACGAGAUCGUAAUUGCUAAACCCUAAAAGUCUAGUCUGGCUAUUAUUAUUCGGGGCAUCUAUGGACCUAGCCCUCCGGUUUAUAUAGACACAGGAGGUACCUAGGGUUACACAAGGAAUCUUCAUAGUCGACGCCAAGCUUGCCUUCCACGCCAAGGAGAGUCCCAUCCGGACAUGGGUAGAGUCUUUGGUCUUCUCAUAUCUUCACAGCCCAAAAAUCCGGCCCAUAUCGAUACGUCGGACGCCGAAGGACCCCUUGGUCCAUGACUCCCUCAGUGGUGACGGCGCGCGGCGGCGGCGGCGCGAGCUGGCGCGAAUGGUGGUGGCGCGGGCUGGCGGCGGCGCGAGCUGGCGGCAACGCGGCGGCUGCGCAAGGCGGCGGCGCCGGCGGCUCGAGCGUCGACACAAGGCGCGGCCCGGUUCAGCCCGGGUGCGGGCCGGUGAUGGGACCCACGGGACCAUGCAGUGGAGAUGGUGGCGGGGUGACGUGGCUGCUUCUGAUUCGUCGAGGGCGGCGGCGCUGGACGCGUCCGGCGUGGACGGACGUGUCCGGUAGCAUGGAGGGAAGAUGGAGGCUAGGGUUUGGACUGCGAAUUCGGACGGGGAGGACCUAUACAUAGGUAGAGGGAGCUAGGAGAGGCCAAAUGAGGUGCGGUUUUCGCCCACACGAUCGUGAUCCAAUGACGGAGAGCAUGGAUGGGGUUUAGAUGGGCUAGUGGGCUGUUAUGAAGGGGUGCUGGGCUGCAAAGAGAAGAAGGGGUUCCGGUUAACGCGAUUGACCGUUGGGGCAUCAAACGUCCUCCAAAUGGAACAAAAUUUGACAGACGGUCUACCGUGAUACACAAAGGCCACUCGACAAAUCUCGGACAAUGCCGGGAAUGUUUUUAUCCCGCUCACGAAACAAUAACUGGAAGGUGCAACGGGUGCAUGUGAGAGUGUCGGAUGUCGAAACGGACAAUGGAGAAAGUGAUCAGAUGCAUGUUUUGAAAAAUAUGAUGGUGCAAUGCACAUGAUGACAUGGCAAAAUGCAACAUGCAAGAAAAUUUCAUGGCAACAACGACGAAUAACAGGAAGACACCUGGCGCAUCGGACUCGGGGUGUUACAAAGAGAUACAUAAAAUCGUGAGAGCGAUACUUUCCAUUUCUCUAGAGGGCUAAAAAUGAAAUUACGAGGAAUUAUAAGAAAUGCAACCGAUGAAGUAUUCACCAACUGUCAGGUAGUUCAAAGAACACCAGAAGUAAAAUUUACAUCCAGGUCCAUAGACCACUUAGCGACGACUACAAGCG